CAAAAACAUUGCCUUUAGGAAUAAUAUUAAAGGUUCCUCCUGCCCAGUGAAUUUACUUUCAACGGCCGCGGUACCCUAACCGUGCAAAGGUAGCAUAAUCAUUUGCCUUUUAAUUGUAGGCUAGUAUGAACGGAUAAACGAAAUUCUCCCUGUAUCAAUUUUAUACCCAAAAAUUAGACUUUAGGUGAAGAUACCUAAAUUACUUUGAAAGACAAGAAGACCCUAUAGAGUUUUAGUGGGCCUUUCCCCACUACACUCCCCCACUUUGGUUGGGGCGACCUAGGAUUAAUCAAAACAUCCUUUAUUAUAAAGAAUAUAUAUUUCUCAUUAAAGAUCCUAAAAUUUAGAUUCUAAAAAUCAACUACCUUAGGGAUAACAGGCUUAUCUUCCUAAAGAGUUCAAAUUGACAGGAAGGUCUGGCACCUCGAUGUUGGCUUAGAGUAACCUCCUAAUGCAAAAGUUAGUUUUGGUCGGUUUGUUCAACCGUUAAAUCUCUACGUGAUCUGAGUUUCAGACCGGA
rnacentral:rRNA from 1 species